UACGUAGGGUGCAAGCGUUAAUCGGAAUUACUGGGCGUAAAGUGUGCGCAGGCGGCAGAGCAAGUCGAGUGUGAAAGCCCCGAGCUUAACUUGGGAAUUGCGCUCGAAACUACUUUGCUGGAGUGUGGCAGAGGAAGGUGGAAUUCCAGGUGUAGCGGUGAAAUGCGUAGAGAUCUGGAGGAACACCAGUGGCGAAGGCGGCUUACUGGUCCAUUACUGACGCUGAGGUGCGAAAGCGUGGGGAGCAAACAGG
rnacentral:rRNA from 1 species